GGGCUCCGGGUCCCCCCCCUUUCCCUGAGGGGCAUUUUUGGGGGGCUUCAGAUCCCCCCCCCUCCUUGGGGGGCAUUUUUGGGUAACUGCAGCCCCCCCCUAUAGAUGGCACUGCCCCAUUCGGAGCCCCCCCCGCACCCCCACCCCCCCCGGCGCCGCUUUUCCCUUUGGGUUUUCCAGUUGUGCCUUAACCGGGGAGCAGCGCUCAGUGGGACACCAAUGGGACCCCCCGUGUGACACCGAGGGGACACCAAUGGGACCCCAAUGGGACACCGGGACCCCCAGUGUGACACCAAUGGGACCCCAGUGAGACCCCCUGUGUGACACCAAGGGGACACCAAUGGGACACCAACGGGACCCCAGUGAGACCCCCAGUGUGACACCAAUGGGACCCCAAUGGGACCCCCCGUGUGACUCCAAUGGGACACCAACGGGACACCAAUGGGACACCGGGACCCCCAGUGUGACACCAAUGGGACCCCAGUGAGACCCCCACUGUGACACCGAGGGGACACCGAGGGGACACCGGGACCCCCACUGUGACACCAAUGGGACCCCAGUGAGACCCCCAGUGUGACUCCAAUGGGACCCCAGUGAGACCCCCAGUGUGACUCCAAUGGGACACCAACGGGACACCGGGACCGCCAGUGUGAUACCAGUGGGACCCCAGUGAGACCCCCAGUGUGACACCGAGGGGACACCGAGGGGACCCCAAUGGGACCCCAGUGUGACUCCAAGGGGACACCAAUGGUUCCCCCAGUGUGACACCGAGGAGACACCAAUGGAACACCAAGAAGACACCAAUGGGACCCCCAGUGUGACACCAGUGGGACACCAAUGGGACACCAAUGGGACACCAAUGGGACACUGGGACCCAAAGUGUGACACCGAGAGGACCCCCAGUGUGACACCAAUGGGACACCAAUGGGACA
rnacentral:lncRNA from 1 species